rnacentral:sRNA from 1 species
UGCCAUCUGAGCCGAGAACAUAAACUGUGC